rnacentral:rRNA from 1 species
ACGGGAGGCAGCAGUGGGGGAUAUUGCACAAUGGGGGAAACCCUGAUGCAGCAAUGCCGCGUGAGGGAAGACGGUCUUCGGAUUGUAAACCUAAGUAGUCAGGGAUGAAGAAAGUGACAUUACCUGAAGAGUAAGCUCCGGCUAACUACGUGCCAGCAGCCGCGGUAAUACGUAGGGAGCGAGCGUUGUCCGGAUUUACUGGGUGUAAAGGGUGCGUAGGCGGGUUUGCAAGUCAGGCGUGAAAUACCGGAGCUUAACUCCGGAGCUGCGCUUGAAACUGUAGAUCUUGAGUGAAGUAGAGGCAAGCGGAAUUCCUAGUGUAGCGGUGAAAUGCGUAGAUAUUAGGAGGAACACCAGUGGCGAAGGCGGCUUGCUGGGCUUUAACUGACGCUGAGGCACGAAAGUAUGGGGAGCAAACAGGAUUAGAUACCCUGGUA